UCUCUAAUCCAAUUGAAGAAUUUCUAAAGAGAGUAGAUUUUUGUCAGUCUGCAUCAUGGAACUUCUCUCCGAAACCGAUACAGUUUUUUGAAUAUGAGAUUCGUUAUCCAAUGGGUCCUGUCAUUGUCGACUUUUUUUUUGGUGGGAGAGGAUCCUAUGGAGUGCAUUUCCAACUCGGCAUCUGCAUUUUGUCAAGUCAAGCAAAGAUUACAGUGACACCAUAUGCAGGAAUCCAAGUGUAUGGUGGAGUACGUGUUGGCAUUCUGAUUUUCUUUGUUGAAGUAAGCAUCCAUGGUCAAAUUCUUGACGUACG